GUAUCAGGAAAUUCCCAAUCACCGACUUCUGGGUUUUUGGCUGUCUGGCCCCUGCUAUAGCUUGCGCUGCCGUGACGCAUGCUGCACUAGCCGUUCGUGCUGCAGACUCGUGUCCAUGCCUAGUGCCAGGCAUGCGCGCUAGCAGAAGUGCACCCACGCCACAGAAACCACUACCUGCCCGCAUCGGUGUAAAAGGGAUUCUGAAAAUUAGAGAUCAAUUGGAACCAAGGAAUAAAGGAUUGGUGGUGGGCUGGAUUAUUGCGAGUAGAUACACCGGAUGCAAGUGGU
rnacentral:lncRNA from 1 species